CGUGUAGGCGGAUAUUUAAGUUAAUUGUGAAAGCCCUGGGCUUAACCUGGGAAUGUCGGUUAAUACUGGAUAUCUUGAGUCUGGAAGAGGGAAGUGGAAUUUCCGGUGUAGCGGUGAAAUGCGUAGAUAUCGGAAAGAACACCAGUGGCGAAGGCGGCUUCCUGGUCCAAGACUGACGCUGAGGCGCGAAAGCGUGGGUAGCAAACA
rnacentral:rRNA from 1 species